CGGAAGGGGGUGGAGCCAGGCUGCACCCCUCGUAGACCCCAUUUAAGGGCUGACUCCCAAGGAGGAAGGAUCUCUAUCUGGAGAUCAAUCCUCUUGGAGCCCUUCUGUGAGUCUAGGACACAGGAAGUGAUAUUCCUGAGAUGAUGAAUGGAUGUGGCUAGUUGCAGAUUUUAGAGGCUUCAGCGCAGAUCAGGUUUGCUGCAGAGAACCUGGAAGAGAAAAUACUGCUUCCAUGCUGCAUUCAGCUUGACGUGAAGACUUACUGUGAAUGUGUCCUCACUCAUCAUUCAGAGGGAUGUCACUGUUCUUGACAGCAUUUGUUCAUGCUAUCUGUCAGCUAAUUGUUGGAAUAGAUCUUGUUUGGCCGAUUUUGAAGACAUAAAAUAUGUAAAUGAG
rnacentral:lncRNA from 1 species